UAGGGAAUCUUGCGCAAUGGGCGAAAGCCUGACGCAGCGACGCCGCGUGAGGGAAGAAGGCCUUCGGGUCGUAAACCUCUGUCCUUGGGGACGAUGAUGACGGUACCCAAGGAGGAAGCCCCGGCUAACUACGUGCCAGCAGCCGCGGUAAUACGUAGGGGGCGAGCGUUGUCCGGAAUCACUGGGCGUAAAGGGUGCGUAGGCGGCUUGGCAAGUCCUGUGUGAAAGGUCGCGGCUCAACCCCGGUGGGUCAUGGGAAACUGCCAAGCUCGAGUGCCGGAGAGGAUAGCGGAAUUCCCGGUGUAGCGGUGAAAUGCGUAGAGAUCGGGAGGAACACCAGUGGCGAAGGCGGCUAUCUGGAAGGUCACUGACGCUGAGGCACGACAGCUGGGGAGCAAACAGGAUUAGAUACCC
rnacentral:rRNA from 1 species